GAUGAACGCUGGCGGCGUGCCUAAUACAUGCAAGUCGAGCGAACGGACGAGAAGCUUGCUUCUCUGAUGUUAGCGGCGGACGGGUGAGUAACACGUGGAUAACCUACCUAUAAGACUGGGAUAACUUCGGGAAACCGGAGCUAAUACCGGAUAAUAUUUUGAACCGCAUGGUUCAAAAGUGAAAGACGGUCUUGCUGUUACUUAUAGAUGGAUCCGCGCUGCAUUAGCUAGUUGGUAAGGUAACGGCUUACCAAGGCAACGAUGCAUAGCCGACCUGAGAGGGGGAUCGGCCAACCUGGACCUGAGACACGGUCCAGCCUCCUACGGGAGGCAGCGGUAGGGAAUCUGCAGAAAUGGGCGAAAGCCUGACGGAGCAACGCGGGGUGGGUGAUGAAGGUCUUCGGAUCUUAAAACGCUGUUAUUAGGGAAGAACAUAUGUGGAAGUAACUGUGCACAUCUGGAGGGUACCAAAUCAGAAGGCCACGCCUAACUACGU
rnacentral:rRNA from 1 species